UGAUGCAAAUGGUUAAUGUGUUUGGCUGCGAACCAAAAGGCUGGUGGUUCGAGUCCACCCA
rnacentral:tRNA from 1 species